UACGGAGGAUGCGAGCGUUAUCCGGAUUUAUUGGGUUUAAAGGGUGCGCAGGCGGCGAGUUAAGUCAGCGGUAAAAUUUCGGGGCUCAACCCCGGCGAGCCGUUGAAACUGGCGGGCUGGAGUUGGAGAGAAGUACGCGGAAUGCGCGGUGUAGCGGUGAAAUGCUUAGAUAUCGCGCAGAACUCCGAUUGCGAAGGCAGCGUACCGGCGCCGGACUGACGCUGAGGCACGAAAGCGUGGGUAUCGAACAGG
rnacentral:rRNA from 1 species